rnacentral:lncRNA from 1 species
AAAGAAAAAAAAAAAAAAAAAAAGGAAUGUAGGGUGCAUUUUUUUUUUUUUUUGUAAAAUUUGAAAUCUGUCCAUUAAGGAGGUAUUUUUGUUUUUUUAUAUUUUUCUAGACUGCCUCAUACUGUAUUGUAGCUCAGGCUAGCUGGCUUGGAACUCAUUAUGUAACACUGGCUGCUCCCAAACUCACAGCAAUCCCCCUGCCUCAGCCUCUCCUCCGUGCAGGAAUUACAGGUGCCAGCCACCACACCGGAUGAGGAGUAGGGAUUAGGGCCUCUGUGUAAAUUCAAGUAGCAUCUCUUCAGGGAUGCCCCUGCCAUUUGCAGUUUUAGCAUUUCUAGAAAGUUCUAUAGGCUUUUUAUGCAAUGUGAUCUGAGGGGCUGUAGUCUUUUCUGGAGCUUUUCCUGCUAAGUCCCCCCCCCCCAGCUUGAAACACACUCUUCUAUUUGAUAUUCCCAAUCACUCAUUUCCUACAACUAUUGUAGUUGAAAGCUAUUAAAAAGCAGUUAUAAGAAAGUCCUGAACGACAUAAAUUUAUGGAGCAAUCCUUGUUAAAUUAUCCAUGAAGAUAGGGUUUAGGUUUCCCUCGAGAUGAGGAAAGGCACCUGUGCCCGGGCCCCACCUCCGCACACCGCCCGGGCGGGCCAUUGCUGGCUGGAUGAAGGUUCUGACAGGAGUCACACCUCCAUAGUCUCCCCAGGCAGAUUGGCUGUCAUAAACUUCAUCAUGCUCCAAGCCUGUUACUUAUACGGUUGCACUUUGAAACUACUUAACGGAUAGUAAACGUCGGUGUGGACGGUGUGCAAGGAACAGUGGUUUGUAGGGCACCUGUAUAAAUAUUUGACUUUUACAGUUGUGCUGCAGUUCUGCGGAUACUUGGAGUCUCAGGUUCACGGCGGUGUAAAAGCUUACGCUUUCUAAGCAUUUUACAGCCUCUCCUGCCUCUGCUCAUGGGCUUCGAUAUGUCAUCCCGUUUGUCUACCAGAGAGGGUUAUAAGACUAUGCAAAGGCUGGGUGAGGCAAACAGAAGUUACAGGACUUGGCUUAUCUGUAUCACUGCCUUUUUAUACAAGCCAGAUGUGCCGUUUGUUUCAAACUGGAAUGGACUGGCAGGUACUAUGAAUGCUGGUUUACCAAGUCCUGUGUUGGGGACCAACAGUUUUGACUAAGAUGAAUUCUUCUUCUUCUUCGAAUUUUCCUUGUAGGCCUUUCAGUACUUGAUAAACGUAUGAAUUAUUAGAAAGAUUUCUGAGCUUCUGUAUGAGAACUUUAGAAGCUAUCCUGUGACGUCAGCCACUGUGAUAUGUCAGUUUAAAUUAUGUUUUCUCUCAGUGCAGCUAAGCGACAGUAAGUCUUCCUACACAGCGUUAGAACUGAUUGGAGAAGGUAUUUGGAGUAACUACUAACUCCUGUUAAUUUUGCUACACAGCCAACAUAUGGAAAGAGAGAUUUCCCCAGGCCUGUAGGGCAUGGGUGCAAUCUGCGUGAUCAGAUUGCAAAUCCUGAAAGCAUAAGGGAAAAUGACCCCAGGAUGCUCUGGGUCUGCGGCAGUGGCGGUGGUGGAUCUUUAAAGCCACUUGGUUAAAAUGGUCAGAAAGAUUCACCCAUUCGCUGUUGUUCCCUUUCUUCCAUGAAGAGUGAGUGUUUUGCUUCUGAUAGUUCAUCAGGAGUCAGCUAGUAUUUCUGGUUGGACAGAGAGUUAUGUUGAGUGAAUGGGAGGAGGCUGGAGGAUUCUGUGGUGCUAUCAUAAUUGCAUUAAAGGAGUAGUGGUACUAAUUAGAGCAGGGGAUCAGCCGCGUUUUCAGACAUGUUAGGCUGUUGGAGUCAGGUCACAUGGUGCAGACUUUGCCUGGGUGUAUCACAGUGCUCAGCUGGGUUUCUGAAUCAACUCUAAAAUGUGGGUGGUACCACUCCCUCAUACAAUGUUUUUAACUUGAAAUUAGGACCCAAAUAGUACUAUUUGCUUUGGUAACAAUUUUUUUAAAUUUUCAUUUAAUUUACAAAAAAAAAAAAAAAAAUGUGUGUAUGGGGCCUGCCUGCUCCAUGCCUGUAUAGUCCUCAGAGGCCAGAGGAGGGCAUUGGGUUGCCCUGGGGUUGGAGUUGCAGAUGACUGAGAGCUGCCAUGUGGCUGCUGGUCCUUGUGGCCCCUGGGAAAGGAUUGUGUGACCCCCAAAGAGGUCUUCACCCGUAGGUUGAGAGCUGUGGCUCUGGACCGUGUGCCUGGUGCCCUCCCCUCCUACUUGCUCGCUGUGAAGACUCAUUGACCACACCACUUGGUGUUUACGGUGUUACGGUGGCCAAAUGUGCUGGGGUUUGGAAAUAUUUGAUUCAACACAGGAGAAAGGAGAAAGGGCAGGAAGGGUUGGGGCUUGGAGUAGAGGGCGAAGUGAACAGGCAAGGCUCUUCUGCAUCCUUCUCAUCUGUGCGCUGGAUGCUAGCCAGAGAUGCCACUUUUUUUGUCCACUGAAGCUUACAGGUUGCCACAUAAAGGAAUUCUGGGUUAAGACUGAUGGACCCUCCUCUGCAGCUUAUGACUAGGGUGGGAUACAGAGCAGCCUGCGGCUUGGAGUUGAAAAGAGACUUGUAUGGUGGUGGGUGAAGGAAGGAAGGAGGAAGGAGCGCCCAGUAAGCGCAUCUUUGACAGACUCGUGUCUUUCCACACUCAGUUGCUGGCAACUGAUUCGGGAACCCCGAAUCUUCUUUCCUUUCAAAUUUGAAAAGUAAAUGGACCAACCCACUGCUAAUGUGUAAAUUUUGAAAAUCCAAAUUGCAUCACUGUCUUAAUGGGUCCUUUGUGUGUGGUGGAUGCGAACCGAGUGUUGGUUAGGUCAGUCAAAGGCUAAACUCAACAAGAGAGCGUAAGUUGAGCUACUCUCCUAUUUUAGUUUUAUUGGGAUU